UACGAAGGGGGCUAGCGUUGCUCGGAAUCACUGGGCGUAAAGCGCACGUAGGCGGCUUUCUAAGUCAGGGGUGAAAUCCUGGAGCUCAACUCCAGAACUGCCUUUGAUACUGGAGAGCUUGAGUCCGGAAGAGGUGAGUGGAACUCCGAGUGUAGAGGUGAAAAUUCGUAGAUAUUCGGAAAGAACACCAGUGGCGAAGGCGGACUCACUGCCGGUACGUGACGCUGAUGUGCGAAAGCGUGGGGAGCAAACAGG
rnacentral:rRNA from 1 species